rnacentral:rRNA from 1 species
UGCCUACGGGGGGCAGCAGUAGGGAAUUUUCGUCAAUGGGCGCAAGCCUGAACGAGCAAUGCCGCGUGAACGAGGAAGGUCUUCGGAUCGUAAAGUUCUGUUGAAGGGGAAAAAGAGCGGAGAGAGGAAAUGGUCUCCGAUUGAUAUUACCCUUCGAGGAAGUCACGGCUAACUACGUGCCAGCAGCCGCGGUAAUACGUAGGGGGCGAGCGUUAUCCGGAAUGAUUGGGCGUAAAGGGUGAGUAGGCGGACUGCUAAGUCUGGCGUGAAAGGUACCGGCACAACCGGAACAGGCUGUAGAAACU